UGGGGAAUAUUGCACAAUGGAGGGAACUCUGAUGCAGCGACGCCGCGUGAGUGAUGAAGGAAUUCGUUUCGUAAAACUCUGUUCUAUGGGAAGAAAAGGACUGUACCAUAGGAGAAAGCUCCGGCUAAAUACGUGCCAGCAGCCGCGGUAAUACGUAUGGAGCGAGCGUUGUCCGGAAUUAUUGGGCGUAAAGGGUGCGCAGGCGGCUUUACAAGUUGGAUGUGAAAUAUUGUGGCUCAACCACAAACGUGCAUCCAAAACUGCAAAACUUGAGUUAAGGAGAGGUAAGUGGAAUUCCUGGUGUAGCGGUGGAAUGCGUGGAGAUCAGGAGAAAUACCGGUGGCGAAGGCGACUUACUGGACUUAAACUGACGCUCAGGCACGAAAGCGUGGGGAGCAAACAGG
rnacentral:rRNA from 1 species